UCAGGAUGAACGCUAGCGAUAGGCUUAACACAUGCAGGUCGAGGGGCAGCACUGGUUAUCGGCAACGGUAUCCUGGUGGCGACCGGCGCACGGGUGAGUAACACGUAUGCAACCUACCCUUAACCGGGGGAUAACCCGGGGAAAUCCGGGCUAAUACCCCAUGAGACGGCAUCAUCGCCUGAUGUUACCGUUAAAGAUUGAUCGGUUUUGGAUGGGCAUGCGUUCCAUUAGCUCGUUGGUGGGGUAACGGCCCACCAAGGCCACGAUGGAUAGGGGAACUGAGAGGUUCAUCCCCCACACUGGAACUGAGACACGGUCCAGACUCCUACGGGAGGCAGCAGUGAGGAAUCUUGGUCAAUGGAGGCAACUCUGAACCAGCCACGUCGCGUGAAGGAGGAAGGCCUUACGGGUCGUAAACUUCUUUUUCGGGGGAAUAAACGGGGUCACGCGUGGCCCCCUGCAUGUACCCCGCGAACAAGGAUCGGCUAAC
rnacentral:rRNA from 1 species